UGAGCAGUGUUGUCUUCAUUUGAUGUUCCCUUCUGAAGAGCUGCAGCAGGACAAAGAGACAUGGUGUGGCUUCUGGAAACCUUCUUAGCAUGCCUCUUUCCUUAUUUGUUGUGGGCCAUUGGCCUGGAGCAGGAGCCCAGCUUCAUUGUUAAGCAGUCGACACUGGGCAGCACUGCCAGGAUCACUUGCCAUGUCACUGGUGGGUCCAGCUCCACUUUAAUCCAUUGGUACCGAGCACUGCCUGGACAAGCACCGCAGAGAAUCCUCUACCUCUCUCUCUCUGGGGAUAAGCUAGAGCAAGACAUAGGUUCUAAGGACAAAUUCUCAGCAUAUGGGAAGCAACAAGCUUGCAAUUUUAUAGUAAGGAAUCUGAAGAAGACGGACAGCGGGGAUUACUACUGUGCCACCUGGGACCUCCCACAGAGUCACAACCCUCUUCCAGCCCUGCCCAAAAAACCCAGCAUCGUUCUUGGUGUGGGGCUCAACUCCUACCUCAUUGCUGCAGCCAGGCAAGUAGAGCCCCACACCCCAGCAUGUAGAGAAGCCUAGCCUCAGUGCCAUAUGUCAACAGGGCAGCCUUACCUCCAUCCAGCUCUGCCAACUGAAGCAAUGUAGA